CCUUCUCCCAAAGCUACGUCGAAGCCCACCUCUGGAGGGGACUCGCAGGCCUUGCGUGAGGGAAGGGACCCGGUGCGUGUCUGGCGGCAGGAUGCCGGGUGCCAAGUGCCUAGAGGUAGGGCCCCGAUGGGGAGACCCGAAAGCUACACCCCUGGAACCGUGGCGGUGUUGGUUGGCCAAAAACGUCCCCGAGGCGGCUGUCCCGCUUGCGCGGUGCUGUGCGGAGAGAUGCAGCCUCGGUCCUUGCUUCGUUGUAGAGGCGCUUGCACACCGCAGCCCUAAAAUAACCACCCUGCUUCCCUCUACCUGCAAACGUAAGGCACGCUUGUGUAGCAGAGGUUUGAAUCGGGGACGGGGUGAAGAGAACGAGGGCUGCGGGGAAGGAUUUCCCUUUGCUGAGGCUCACAGCCUGGCCUCUCCUUUUGAGAGCAGGUGCCUACAUACAGCCUGUUUCUGUUCCCUCGAAGAAUUAAUUAUUUUCUCCUGUAUGUGGCCCCGGGAGGAAGAAGUCCAAGCACCUCCCUCCCCCCGUCAUUCUGUAUCUCCAGCGAUCAGAGCGCUUCUUUAGGAGCUGGAGAUGUGGCUCCUGGUCCUUUUCCCAGAACUUUGUGUUUUGUCCUCUGACAAACGUUCAAUGUAAAGUACAUGGAGCACACUUGGAAAAGGGGACUGAAAUCCAAGGCUGUUCCCCUCCCUUCCCCAUGGCAAUAUUAUUAUUGCUAGGUCAUGGCCUCUCCUUGAAUCCUGAAUCCCCACCCUCUCCCCCAGGCAGCAGUACGGGUUCAACAGGCUGGUUCAAAAUGGAGUGUGUGUUAGCCUAGCAUACCUCCCGGGUAAGAUACUCUUCAGGAAGGUCGGGGGCAGCAGGGGGAGAAGCUGACCUUGGGUCUCCUGGUGUGGGGAGCACCUGCAAGGCACACAGAGGGAAGGAAGUGCCCCCCUGGGUAGUUGAGAAAGGGUUCAAAGGGGCUGGUGAAGUGUUAAGCAAAAGCAGUCGGCGGCUCAGCACAUGGUGGGGAAGUUGAUGAUAAGCAUUUGCAGCUGGUUCUCUCUCUCUCCCACCCUGGAGGAACUGGGUGGCUGCUGACUCAGGAGCUGCAUCAAGUCAGAGGAAUGGGAAGGGGGUCACAUUUCCCGAGUGCCCAAGACACACUGCAGCAGGCGAUGGGAUAGCGACGGGCACCUCCUACCUGCUGUCCCGUCUUGGAAGAGCGAUCACAGCAGCGUGCUGUAAGGAGCUGGAGCCCUCUGGAAUGUUGGGACUAAUCAUGUGAGAAAAGAUCCUGGAGUGAUGAGGCAGCAUAUUUCCCAUGUCUGAGGUCAGCUUCACAGAACAAAUCCUGACCUUUAAAACAGCCUGAAAAUGAGGAACGUGGCACCAGAGAGCAGAGCAGGAAACAUGAAAUGAUGAAAUGCAAGCAGUUUUCCAGAGGCCCACAUGCCUCUGGAAAGCAGUAGAAGUAUCUGCAUGAGCAAAGAGCUCCAGUGCAGGAAGGUAAAGAGGAUGUAAGAACAAGGCUGUGGCUGGGGAGAUGGAAAUGGCUUAGUCGGGGCACCAGGUGAAGUCCUGCAGUGGCUACUCUGUUGCAAAGACUGCAGCUGAAAACAGACUCAGACAGGAGCUGAUCCACACUGUUCUCAGCCUUUGGGGAACAUUCAGUUUUGGAACUGAAGGACCCAUGUUUUAGGCUAAACUGAACUCAUGAGUCUAAAACUUCUUCAACUCUAUGUUGCUUUUGACCUCACUCUGUAGUAUGGAUCCAUUUGCUUCAUCACUAGCCAGAUGAAGCUUAUUCGCAGUGUCAGAAGAAGAUCUACCUCUGCUCUCUGGCUCAGAUUAGCUUACUGUUGCUCCCUCAGUUUAUCUGCUUUUAUAUGCAUAUCCUGCUGCUAAAUGUGUGUAAAAUAAGUGGCUAGUCCUUUUACUCUCUUUCCUUUCAGCUUGUUGAUCGCAGGAUUCAGUCAUAUGCAUAGUAAUGUGUAAUUGAAGCAUGGUGGCUUUACCCAGCUGGCUUAGAUCUCACCUCUAAGCCUGUACGCAAAAAGACCUACCUAUUCUGGGUGGCGUGGGAAGCUCUCCAGGGCCCAGAAUGUGAGAAGUAAUCAAUUCUUGUAGAAACGUUUCUGCAAUGCUGUGGAAUCCAGCCAAGAGACAUGAUGAAAGUGGAAACUGUUUUCUAGGACAUCCAGUUUCAUUUAAUUUUGUCAUGCCCAUAGAACUUUUCAGCAAA